CCUUUUGAAAUGAUGUGUGGAGUGUGAUUGCAUGGAAAGGGAUGCAUGGAUGGGCUGUCCCGAAUUGGAAUCAGUGACGCAUGUUCAUGAAAAGAGCCCAUAUUGAUCAUUUUAAUGACUAUUAUUUAUCUUUUAAUGCAACUGUCUUUUAGAAACCUUUCCCAGUCACUAAAUCCUGGCAACUGGACAGAGAAAACUGGAUUACAAAUGCAGGGUUUUCCACGACAACCGUACCUGAUUGACUGUGGCAUCUUCAUGUUGAUGAAUGCCCUUUACACCACACUGGAUACUCCCUAUGACUUUUCUAUU